AGGAGGGGAGAGGGCUGGGAAGCCGAGCUCGAGCCGGGUGUACGUCCGCAAGCUGGGGAGGAGCGCUCCGCCCGCUACUGACAAAGGAUGGGAGGAUGCCUGCGCCGCGGGAUGCUCGUUGCGCUCCGCCGGGCCGCCGCCUGAGCGACUUCGCCCUCCGCCGGUGAGUGAUUGCAAAGAUCAUUCAAUCAGCCUCGCUGCGAGCCCGCACCCUCCUCGGCUCGCCGUCCCGGGCGUCUGUGUCCCUGACUCCGAGCGGGGCUUGGCACAGUACCAUUCUCGGAGCACGGGCAGCAGGUGCCUUUGCCCGGUGGGUCCCCGGAGGAGCCGAGGAUCCCGGCUGGGGUUCUCGGCGGGUGCUGGGACCCAACCCCCCGGCGGCGAGCUCGCCGGCGGGCGCCGCUCGGGUGAGCGGAGGCUGUUCCAGCCGGCUGCUUGGGGGUAGUUACCUCCGCUGGCCCGCCCUCGCCCGCCCCGCGCGCUAGCCUUUUCUGGGGGCUCCCCAGUGCGCGGCGCGCUGUUUACACCAGCUUCUUACUAGUCAGCGAACCGCACCCCUCGGAAAGCGCGGAAUCAAGGACCGCCACUUGACAGGCUCCCGAGUCGCCCGUGUGGGCUUGAGGAGGGCGGGCGCCAAGGACCACCGAGGGCAGCCUUUGUCUUGGGUGUAGCGCUAAUGCGCUCAAAACUGCCUCAGGCUCUCCGCAACUGUCGAGUCGGAUUCGGGUCGCCGGCAUCCGUCCGCCAGGGCGAGGGAUGCCAUUGUGUUCCAGCUGCAGGCGGGACUGAGAGCUGGGACUUAAGACACCAGAAGUGUCCUGCGCCCACGGAAAUGUACUCAAGAAGAGUUCUGAGAGAAUAUACUCAGUUGUCCUUCUGUGAUUAAACGAGACGCUGCUGUAUUUUAACUGAGCUUGGAAAAGCAAGGAUAUGAACAAUUGUGCAGGUGGGCUACUCAGGGCGAGUGAAGAGAUAAGGCAUCCAAUCAGGGACUGGCACCGUGCAACCCUGCCAGUAUGCCCCUCCACCAGAUUUCCGUAAUCCCAGCACGGGAGACUGCCAGCAAUGGGAGAAGUUCAGUGGGCAGAAACAAAGAGAAGAACAAGGAA